AUAAUACUCCCUCCGUCCGGAAUUACUUGUCAUCAAAAUGGAUGUGUCUAGAACUACAAUACAUCUAGAUACAUCCAUUUCAAUGACAAGUAUUUUCGGACGGAGGGAGUAGUAG
rnacentral:pre_miRNA from 1 species